CCUACGGGUGGCAGCAGUGAGGAAUAUUGGUCAAUGGACGCAAGUCUGAACCAGCCAUGCCGCGUGCAGGAAGACGGCUCUAUGAGUUGUAAACUGCUUUUGUACGGGGGUAAACGCAGAUACGCGUACCUGUCUGAAAGUAUCGUACGAAUAAGGAUCGGCUAACUCCGUGCCAGCAGCCGCGGUAAUACGGAGGAUUCAAGCGUUAUCCGGAUUGAUUGGGCGUAAAGGGUGCGUAGGCGGGCGGAUAAGUCAGAGGUGAAAUCCCGGGGCUCAACUUCGGAAUUGCCUCUGAUACUGUUCGGCUGGAGAGUAGUUGCGGCAGGCGGAAUGCAUGGUGUAGCGGUGAAAUGCUUAGAGAUCAGACAGAACACCGAUGGCGAAGGCAGCUUACCGAGCUACUUCUGACGUUGAGGCACGAAAGCGUGGGGAGCAAACAGGAUUAGAUACCCCAGUAGUC
rnacentral:rRNA from 1 species